AUGCCCACUACAGAUCACGCUAACCAGGACUUCCACCUGCUCCAGUGACCGAUGUUUCUUCCCUCUCCUUAGUUUCUAACCAACCCCAGCUCACCGACUGUAGAAUCAUCCUCACUUCCCCAUUCACUCCAGCCAGUCCUGGGACUACUCAAAAGAAUGCACAUCCCCAGUCUGCUCCAAGUUAGAGAAGUUUCUUCCCCACUGGGAUAUGUGACAGAUGGGGAUUCUUCAGUGAUACAGGACAUCCUCUUCUUGCUGACCAAGUAGUAAAAUCACCCUGCUGCAUUAAAGAUAAAACAAAUAA